rnacentral:rRNA from 1 species
AUUUUUACAAUGGAGAGUUUGAUCCUGGCUCAGGAUGAACGCUAGCGGCAGGCUUAACACAUGCAAGUCG